GUAAGGAAAAAGCCACAUCAAAAUGUUGCAUAACCAGAACAUCCACAAAAGUUGAUUAUUCUAAGAUUCUAAUCAUGUUUCAUAUUAAGGAAUACCAUACCACAAGUUGCUGAGCAUUCAAAUCCUAAAAGAAAACAUACCACUGUCUCCAGAGAUGCUGUGUCAACAAAAAUUCCUUCUGCUGGCAUGAUACAAUAUCUGUUUAACUAAUCAGGAGGAAAUUUAUCAUGCAGGAUUUGGUGGGGUUGUUUAUGGAGUCGUUAGCACAAUGGCACUCAGCUCUCAGAUGUCAGUGUUGCUCUUCAGAAGAUGAAAUGCUGCAGCUGGUUGGGAAAUGAAUGAAGGCCAAAACCUGAGCUAUAAAAUAGGGGACUUAAUCCAAAUAAAUCCUAUUGCUAGGAA